rnacentral:rRNA from 1 species
GAUGAACGCUGGCGGCGUGCCUAAUACAUGCAAGUCGAGCGAACAGACGAGGAGCUUGCUCCUCUGACGUUAGCGGCGGACGGGUGAGUAACACGUGGAUAACCUACCUAUAAGACUGGGAUAACUUCGGGAAACCGGUGCUAAUACCGGAUAAUAUAUUCAACCGCAUGGUUCAAUAGUGAAAGACGGUUUUGCUUUCACUUAUAGAUGGAUCCGCGCCGCAUUAGCUAGUUGGUAGGGUAACGGCUUACCAAGGCAACGAUGCGUAGCCGACCUGAGAGGGUGAUCGGCCACACUGGAACUGAGACACGGUCCAGACUCCUACGGGAGGCAGCAGUAGGGAAUCUUCCGCAAAGGGCGAAAGCCUGACGGAGCAACGCCGCGUGAGUGAUGAAGGUCUUCGGAUCGUAAAACUCUGUUAUUAGGGAAGAACAAAUGUGUAAGUAACUAUGCACGUCUUGACGGUACCUAAUCAGAAAGCCACGGCUAACUACGUG